UAGAGAGAUAGGAAUUGAACCUACAAUUAAGAGAUCAAAACUCUCCGUA
rnacentral:tRNA from 1 species